CAUGUAUCUCCAGCCAGUUAGAAUGUUCCAGAAUUUCCCCAUCGGAAUUAAGUGAUUCCUUUCCUUUCUGUCUGUGAGGCUGGGAAGGGAGUGCCUUCCCUCGUCCCCUAUCCUGGCUGUUAGAUGGAGCUCCUGAUGAGCCUGCUGGGCCAUCCUCCGCCCAUGACAAGCCAUCACUGUGGGGGCCUGUGACCCUCUCUGGGCCUCUGGAGGAACCUUCUAGUGCGGUUCCUGAGGAAACGUGACUGCAUGGGGACCCAGAUACAGAGGGAAAGACUCUGUGCAAGCUGCAUAUGGUGCCCAUUCCUGGGCAGGACCACUGAGGCCAUGAUGGGAACCCUGCCAGUAUUAUGCACUGCUGAAUUCCUGGGUCCUAGGACAACAGGCCACAGCUGUGAAACUGAAACAGAUACAGAACCUCAGAGGUCACAACUUUGUUCCUACGGAUGAGGAAACUGAGGCCCAAGGAGGAAGAUGGGUGGUCCAAGGUGAUACUGUGGUGUGUGGGCAUUGAGGGCAGUGCAGAUCUCCCCAACCUUGUCCCAGGGUGCCCAGCACCGCAGGGCAUUGUCCUCCUGUGUCUGUCAGACUCUUGCAUAAACUACUGAGCCUCAUGGA